GUUGCUCUUAGUUUCCUCAGGAGCCGUUUUUAACGGCUGGCGCAGCUGCUUCCCUAACUGGGGUCUGCAGUGCAGGCGUGGUGUCUCUGCACUGCGCCCUGCAAGCAACUGAAACCCGGCCAAGCACAAAGGAAAAGAAAAGCUCCCUCCCAUCAUCAACUCAAGACCUAAGAUACCUGAAAAGCAUCUCUUCUCUCCUCCUUUUUCUUCCUCUGGCUGGUCCUGACCAGAGGGCCCUAGUGAGAGCGGCUCCUGAUAAUGUCAGGAUCUUCUUCGGAACCUGCAGCAUAAUUCAUUUUCUCCGGAAUGGAUGUGGAGCCUCCCAGUGCUUCCAAAUUGGGCUGCACCAACUCUGAGACUUCUGUGUUCCAUUUUCUCAACGCUCCAAUGAAUUGUCAAGACAAAGCUUUGUGUCAAGAUAGAGAAGCAUCUUUUCCCAGGCCUGCAUUUCUGGCUGGGAAACAGGAGCCCAAAUCCUAAAUGUGUCUAUUUGGUCAGCUUACAGUCCAAACAGCGAUUUUGGAAAUGCAGAGUUUGCAGAGCCUGAUGCCUCUCCUGCAGUUUAAAUCUGCACAGUUGUCACCAGUUACAGACUAUGGCAGAUGGCUUGCAGUGUGUAGAGGAGGACGAUGGACAAGGAAUCAAAGAGAGAAAAGAGCAGCACAUGUCCUGGUUCAGCUCCUCCAAGUUGCCAUUAAAAGUGCAUAAUUUCACCAGACUCUAGCCUCAAACAUCCAUGGUCAAUUAAAAGCUGUCUCCGGUCAAUGGGUUGUGACACAGAGUUUCUAUGUUCUAGGGACACCUUCUACCCUUUAGACAGACUGCCUUUCGCCCUGAAAAAUGGCAUCCAAAGCCCCACUGUCAGCUAACAAGUGUGUAACUUGCAUUGGUGGCACCUUCAGGUUUCAUGGCAUUUCCUGUCUCUUCACCAUGUAUAGGCUAUGCGUUAAAACUUCCGAAAUCCCCUUUUCUAUUCUCAAGGGUUCCCACACCCCAGAUGAUGAUGGAAUCCGCAAUUAUAAUAAGCAACUUCCAAACAAAAUUGAGGGCCCUGCUUUCCUUACAACCAUUGCUCUUUUCCCUAUAAUUCUUCAAACUGGCCCAAGACAUUUUAAGGCUGCUGUCUUUGGCUUCUGUGCAGAAAAGAGUGUCUCCUGGUUUCUUCAUCUGCUGAAGAUGGACCUAGUCCCUUCUCAUUUCUUAACCUAAGCUGUGAACCUUUUGCUAAUGAUGAUUUGUAGUCUGAGCUCUCUGGGGUCCAGAGAGAGCUCUGCAGGUGCCUGUCAAAUGCUCCACCUGAGAAAGACCAAGCGAAGCUAAGUCAAGCACCAUGGCUUGACACAGCUUUCCAAGUUCUGCAGCAGAACAGCAACCCCCCACCCCCACCAGGAACAGAACCUCCCAUCAACAGCUUCCUCUCUCCCCCUGGGUUUCUCCCAGUAAUUUUUUGAAGAUUGCCCGGGGCUGCCAGCCUCAUCUGCCUUUUCACUUGGCUCGUUCCUCCUCUCCCAGCUAUUUGCUAAAAUACAGGGUUUCCUCCCCCUCUUGUUAGAACAAAACUUGCUAGGAAGUUGACCCUAGUCUUUGAGGCUUCCUUGUGUUGUCCCAAAGCCUGUCAGGUAAUUUGUAAGUUUGUUAGUUUAAGUGGCAGAGCUAAAGGCUUUUCUCUAACCAACUAACUGGUUUCCCCUCUGCCUCUGAGCAAGCUUCAUUCUAGAGUCAGAGAUGUCCAGGCACAGCCUUCUGAGUACACUCUCCUCUUGACUUUGAAAUCUUCACUGGGCUUUGCCUGCAUCUAUGCUGGACGAUGAGCCUCGGCAACACAUGAGGACUUCCAUGCCUCACUGGUCAGCACCACUGUGCUGCUGGGCUGGAGCCUCCAUCCUCCAUUCCUAUAUCCAUGCCUACUUUUCAGGCUCACUGGUGAAGAAAUAGGAUGAGGAAGCAGGAAAGGAUCAGAGGCAAGGAGCAUGGUCUCACUGACAGUCCAUAAGCCUGAAUAUCUGAGGUUCAGCUCCUUUUAUGCAGGUUUCACAGCUGAGAAACUGAGCCCACCCAAUCCUCAUUCUGUCUUCACACCACAAGGCUGGCAUGGGCAGAGUGCCAUCAGGAGAGAACACAGCUCCCACCAUGGAGAACCCCUCUAAACUUGCUUGCACCAAAGUCUAGUUCCAACAGCAUGUGGCCCGUGGAAAAUGCAGCUGCGGUCAGUAACUGAGGUUCUCAGACAGCCUUGCCCUUGCAUCCUAGCUCCUGGCACAUGCUCCUUCCUGGUUCGCCUACCAUGAAGCACGUGACCCCUCUGAUGAAACACAUAUGUGAUGACUGACAUCCUGGGUCUCUGCCCAUGGCAAGUAGGCCCCUGCAGUCACUGGACCACAGUUCUCCCCCACCAAAGGACCCUGCAGGCCAUGGAGCACCAUGGCUUACAGCAGGGUUUAGGCCCCCAUCACUAAUGUCAUCCCACUAAGUAUGUGCCAAGAAGACUCUUGUUAAGCCUAGAACCUAAUUUGAUAUGUGGAAGAUCCAUCUUCACAUAAGACCUCAGACUGGUGACAGUUUGGUUUACAGAGAGAGGGUCACAGUCCCAGAGGAGAGAUCUACCCAGCAAGGGUGCUCAAUGAGGAAGACAGAGCUUUAUCCCCUUAUUCCUGCAGCAUCCACCCUUGACCUUCAUGGUUCACUUUGGUCUCAGGCUUUCUCCCAGUGUUGAAGUGAGGGUGUGGGUGUUGUUCUGUACCUCUCCUAGGUCUUAAUUAUACAGCCAGCACUCAGCCUCCUCCCACACUCUGGCCCCUCAAUCAGCCCUGGACACUUAAUGUGGUUAUGACAGACAUGCAGCUGCUGCGACAGCCCCUGCCAAGUGACAAGACCAGCCUUCCCAGUGAGUCCACUCAGGACCUGAGGCAUUGCUCAGCUGGCUUGCUGCCUCCAGCAGCACUCAGUCAGGUGAUGGUCCUUCCUCACCCAGCAGAGCCAGGCUCUCCUGGACUGUUAACAUGGAAUUUGGAGGGAAUCUUGUGCCUCAAAGAGCAUCACUCUUCUGGGGAGAGAAGAGGAAUGCAUGUGACAAUAUUAAAGCCAAGGCUGUGUGGUGAAAGUUUAAUAGAACAAAUAUAUGGCUGGCUGGCUGAAGAAUGAUAAAAUCACUCUGAUGAUGAGGACUUUACUGCACUGGUUUCCAGACCCUUGUUUGCUAAAUAAAUUUAUUUACUUGGACUCCAAGCUACUGGGUGACCUUGGUCCAAUGACUCCACUUCUUCCAGCCAUUGUUUCUUUAUUGUAAACUGAGAGGAUGGGGCUCUGUGAGUGAUUCUUGAGUAUCCUCGUACUGGGGGAGGAAGUCUCAUAUUUUUGGAGCAUAAAUACUCUCUACCAGUUACUGGGCAUGUUUUCAGGGGGUGCAGAGUUGACCCUAGUCUUGUUGCUCUUGUGCUGGUGGCAGGAAGCCAUUGUUGCUGCCUUCCAGGACAUUGUUGUCCGAUGGGGAAUGUGUGAUGGGCUCUUUCUAAAUCCCCUGACCAACCCCUCCCCCUGGUCAAAUAAAUUCCAAAACUAUUUAAGAAACCUCUGAAAGACUGAGAUGAAAGUAUUUGUACUGUAGAUGUCCCCCAGAUGAUUCAUUUAUUGGUUGAUGAAUUUUAUAAUGUGUGAUUAGAUUUAUUCUAAGAUCAUAAGUCCUUUCUUAUGAAAUGUACAUGCAGCUAGCACCCAUGUCUGCAUUAUUCUCUGGGACUUGAGUAAGAAUCUUGUUUGAAAGUCACUGCUAUCAGGAAGCAAAGUGUUUGGGGUGUGUGCAGCCUGAGCUUGGCCAAGAGUUGAGUCCCUCUGGUUCAUGCAGCUCUACCAGAUAACCUGCUGUCACAUAACCUACUGCGAUGUUUCAUCCAUGUAGAGUAUGUUAGCAGCUGUCUGGUGGGGCCUAGAGCAGCUCACUGCAGAAAGGAGUGAGGAGAGAGGGGUGGCUGAAGUGGGUAUGGGGUCCAGAACAGGGCUCUGUGAGGGGAACCCAGGAAAGGUGUCUGUGUCAAGACUGAUCACCCCCAGCACCAUUGGAUUGAUUGAGGGAGGGAGAGUGUGAUAUGAAAAAUAGCAAACCCAAGGAGUUCCUGUUGUGGCACAGUGGAAACAAAUCUGACUGGUAUCCACGAGGAUGCAGGGUUGAUCCCUGGCCUCACUAAAUGGGUCAGAGAUCCGGCAUUGCCGUGAGCUCUGGUGCAAGUCAUAGACAUGGCUUGGAUACCUCAUUGCUGUGGCUGUGAUCAGCAGCUGUAGCUCUGAUUAGACCCAUAGCCUGGGAACUCCCCUAUGCUGUAGGUGUGGCCCUAAGAAGCAAAAGACAGAAAAAUAGCAAACUCGGGAUAUGCAAUACACACAUAUAUAUUUUAGAUUUCUUACAUGUAUAGCCAUGGCACUGACAGUUGAUAAAAUGGGUUCAUUGAUAAAACCGUAGGUAUUGGCAAGAUUCUUAUGUUUCUUAAAGAGAGAUUAAUACAUAUAAAAGAUUAGAACUGUUAAGGAAUGAAUGGCUUAGGAAUAACAAUUAAUUGUCUAGUUGUGAAAACAGCCUCUCUGCCUAGAUUCUGUAGGCAUGAGUACAAUGAAAUGUCAGGUUUUCUGGGGUUUUUUUUUGGCUGUACCUGCAGCAAGAGAAACAGGCUAGGGACUGAAUCCCACCUAAGCUGGAACUGUGGAAAUGCCACAUCCUUAACCUGCUGCACCCCCGUGGGAACUCCACAAGAUGUCAUUUCUUACAAAUUUUCUAAAAUUUAAUCUUUUCCCUAUUCAAACGACUCACCUCUUUUGGUUGAAAUUAGUAAGUUUUGUUAUAAAAUUGAAUAGCAAGAGGACACUGGCUACAUACACGUUCCAAGUGGCUUGUCUCCCUUCUAGAAACCGCCAACCUGCCUGCUGCCAUCCUGCCUCCCCAACCAGAGCAGAUUCUUAUUAUCCAACUCCAAGCAGCUGUCCUCCCCAGGGCAGCCUCAGGUUUCUGUAUGACCUUAGGCUCCCCAAGUGAGAUGUCCCUGGGGUGCAGUGCUCUCGCCUUCCUCUCCUUCCGUCCAACUCCAUGUCCACAGUGAAGGGUCCCAACGGAAACCCAGGCAUUUGAGGGAGGCCCUUUCUCUUGGAAAACAGCCCCUGUCUAGAGGCUUACCGCCUUCUGAAGCCAUUCCACAGGCAUGGGCCUGGACCACCACGGGCUGGUGGCCUCAACGUGGACAGUCAAGAGCAGGACCCAGCGAGGGACCUGCCCCAACAGAUGCUCAGGACGCAAGUAAAGGAGCCCAAGUUUGAAUCUCAACAGUAGAAUGCGGGCCUCCAGUCAUUCUGCAGUGGGGGAGGGGCCGAGGGCAGGUGAGCCUGGGUGGGGGUGGGGUGCCAUUCCAUGCUGGCCUCUGCAGGGAGGCAAGAACCAGACGUUUCUUCCACCUUAUGCAGGGGCCAGACAAUUGUCGAGUGCCUCGUCAGGCAAUGUAUGUGUUGGUUUUCAGAGUCACAGCACCAAGGUUUGUCUUGAUGUUCCCUUUCCCUUCGUUAUUCAUCAACUUGUUUGUUGUCUUUCAACCUGCUCAGCUUCCCUCCUGGCUCUUGGCUUCCUUCCCCAGAGGCCAGACUUUCUGAACAAAAUUCACCAUUUAUCAUCUGAUAACCACUUGGGUUUUCAUGGCCACCUGGAACCCAAUGUUUAUGGUUUGGCUUCUCUCAGCAGACCCACCAUUUGUGAUUGGUGUGUGUCCAUCUUUCCUAAGGAAGCCGUCCUUGUGUGCCAACCAGCAUCCAGCAGGACCCACCUUCCUCAUGUUCCCUUGUGCUGGAAAGGCCCAGCCUAUCCAAAAAGCCACUGCACAGCCCACGUGUCCAAGACCAGAGAUCAGUCUGACAUCUUUCCCGUAUGAUGACAUUGCUGGUAAGUCUUGGAGCUUUUACCUUUUAAAUGUUUGAAUGUAACAUUUUCCACAACUCCUCCCUUCUCAGGGAUCACAAUCCACUUGUGCCAGAUAGAAUAUGCAGUGUUGAGUCCUCCUCCCCCCUCUUUCCCCUGUCCACUCAGUCCUCGUUCCCACUGGUAAUCAGUGUUACCUGUUUCAUUCACAUCUUUUCAGAGAUCUUUUGGGCAAGGAACAUUGAAUGCAAUCCAUUUGCCUUUUCAAAAAUUAUUUCUUUGUCUCUGAAAAUUAAAAUGUGCACAGGGAUGUAAAAUGUUGGAGGAUAAUGUGAGAAAGCGAUUAUAUAUGUAUAAUAUAUGUGUAUAUAUAUGUGUGUGUGUGUCUGUAUGACAGGGUCCUUUUGCUGUAAAGUUGAAAUAGACAAAGCAUUGUAAAUCAACUGCAAUGGAAAACUUAACAAUUAUAAGGUAAGAGUUCAUCUUGAAAAACAGUAAAAAGGAAAAAUAGAAAAUUAAA
rnacentral:lncRNA from 9 species